rnacentral:rRNA from 1 species
UACAGGGGGGGCAAGCGUUGUUCGGAAUUACUGGGCGUAAAGGGCUCGUAGGCGGCCAACUAAGUCACACGUGAAAUCCCCAGGCUUAACCUGGGAACUGCGUGUGAUACUGGAUGGCUUGAAUCCGGGAGAGGGAUGCAGAAUUCCAGGUGUAGCGGUGAAAUGCGUAGAUAUCUGGAGGAACACCGGUGGCGAAGGCGGCAUCCUGGACCGAGAUUGACGCUGAGGCGCGAAAGCCAGGGGAGCAAACGGG